GAUGAACGCUGGCGGCGUGCCUAAUACAUGCAAGUCGAGCGAACGGACGAGAAGCUUGCUUCUCUGAUGUUAGCGGCGGACGGGUGAGUAACACGUGGAUAACCUACCUAUAAGACUGGGAUAACUUCGGGAAACCGGAGCUAAUACCGGAUGAUAUUUUGAACCGCAUGGUUCAAAAGUGAAAGACGGUCUUGCUGUCACUUAUAGAUGGAUCCGCGCUGCAUUAGCUAGUUGGUAAGGUAACGGCUUACCAAGGCAACGAUGCAUAGCCGACCUGAGAGGGUGAUCGGCCACACGGGAACUGAGACACGGUCCAGACUCCUACGGGAGGCAGCAGUAGGGAAUCUUCCGCAAAGGGCGAAAGCCUGACGGAGCAACGCCGCGUGAGUGAUGAAGGUCUUCGGAUCGUAAAACUCUGUUAUUAGGGAAGAACAUAUGUGUAAGUAACUGUGCACAUCUUGACGGUACCUAAUCAGAAAGCCAGGGCUAACUACGUG
rnacentral:rRNA from 1 species